UUAAAGGCGCUGACGAAGGCGAGUAAACGCUGAACGACGGUGUAGAGAGCAGGUGCCUGGUGGAAAACCUGCCCGAGAUGACAGCGUGGAAUGGACUUCCGAGCCGCAACGCGAACAGGAAUCAACCCAAGUAUCCGCGACGGGUGCUCCCGUUAUAGGGCAAGGAUAUAACCGCUUAUCCGGUUUUCGACGAUCGGCGGCGUAUCUGAAAAGAGUGAGGCUGGCCGCAUCCCGUUGCAUCACAACGGGAUUUUUUGUUAAUCUUUUACCAGCCUAACCUGGGUGGCACCACGGAUGCUUCAGCGUUCGUCCCAAUU
rnacentral:ncRNA from 1 species